AUUGAACGCUGGCGGCAGGCCUAACACAUGCCAGUCGAGCGGAUGAAGGGAGCUUGCUCCUGGAUUCAGCGGCGGACGGGUGAGUAAUGCCUAGGAAUCUGCCUGGUAGUGGGGGAUAACGUCCGGAAACGGGCGCUAAUACCGCAUACGUCCUGAGGGAGAAAGUGGGGGAUCUUCGGACCUCACGCUAUCAGAUGAGCCUAGGUCGGAUUAGCUAGUUGGUGGGGUAAAGGCCUACCAAGGCGACGAUCCGUAACUGGUCUGAGAGGAUGAUCAGUCACACUGGAACUGAGACACGGUCCGGACUCCUACGGGAGGCAGCAGUGGGGAAUAUUGGACGAUGGGCGAAAGCCUGAUCCAGCCAUGCCGCGUGUGUGAAGAAGGUCUUCGGAUUGUAAAGCACUUUAAGUUGGGAGGACGGGCAGUAAGUUAAUACCUUGCUGUUUUGACGUUACCAACAGAAUAAGCACCGGCUAACUUCGUG
rnacentral:rRNA from 1 species